rnacentral:rRNA from 1 species
AACGAACGCUGGCGGCAUGCCUAACACAUGCAAGUCGAACGAGACCUUCGGGUCUAGUGGCGCACGGGUGCGUAACGCGUGGGAACCUGCCCUUAGGUUCGGAAUAACUCCCCGAAAGGGGUGCUAAUACCGGAUAAUGUCUUCGGACCAAAGAUUUAUCGCCUUUGGAUGGGCCCGCGUUGGAUUAGCUUGUUGGUAGGGUAAAAGCCUACCAAGGCGACGAUCCAUAGCUGGUCUGAGAGGAUGAUCAGCCACACUGGGACUGAGACACGGCCCAGACUCCUACGGAAGGCAGCAGUGGGGAAUAAGGGACAAUGGGCGAAAGCAUGAUCCAGCAAUGCCGCGUGAGUGAUGAAGGCAUUAGGAUUGUAAAGCUCUUUUACCCGGGAUGAUAAUGACAGUACCGGGAGAAUAAGCUCCGGCUAACUCCGU